UACGUAGGGUGCAAGCGUUAAUCGGAAUUACUGGGCGUAAAGCGUGCGCAGGCGGUUCUAUAAGACAGAUGUGAAAUCCCCGGGCUCAACCUGGGAACUGCAUUUGUGACUGUAGAGCUGGAGUGCGGCAGAGGGGGAUGGAAUUCCGCGUGUAGCAGUGAAAUGCGUAGAUAUGUGGAGGAACACCGAUGGCGAAGGCAGCCCCCUGGGUCAAAACUGACGCUCAUGCACGAAAGCGUGGGGAGCAAACAGG
rnacentral:rRNA from 1 species